AUGCAACAAUUACCUGUUGGAAGACAUCAGAACCACAAAAACGGGUGUUUACCAUUCGAAGGACAUCAAAUCUGACUAAUCGUCAAAGGAACCAGCUAUGAAAAUGACUCUCCAUAGUCUGACCAAGAGCGAUCACGCCAACGAACUCGUUUGCUGACUGAUUUGAAGGCCCUACAACAUUACAGAAACCUCGUCGUCAGCAAGCAACAAAACCAUAACCGCCCAAAACGUUCAGCUAUGUCCACAGCACUUCCCUGUCAACAAGGAGCAACAUCUGCCAGGAAAACAUCGAUACCGGAUAGCUACCAGUCUACGACAUUAUCCGGAGAGAUUAAUUACCACUGCCCGACUACGAGUAUUUCGCCACCAGAAAAUGAUUGCUACUGACGAGAAGGCGAAACGUCUCAGCAGGCAUCCUUGGCACAGCAAGUAGUCUUGAGCACCUCGGCCACACGGCAUUCAGACUGAAGUUGCAGGACGAAAGCCUACACUCCAAUGCACGCUUUCGAUCCCAUAUCAACAAUAGUAAUCGCUUACUCCGGAAAAAAAAAGAUCACUCACUAAAGUCUGGAAUAAUAUGAAAUUAACGCUUAUUGCUUACUCAAACUUCUCAUGACUCAGAUAUAUAUCCUAUGCUGUUUAGUAAUGAAAUAUAAUGCAGCUCACACAAUAAUCCCAAUAUAAUUUGAAAUGUAUUUUCUUGGCAAAAUUUCUGGCGCCCAACAACUAAAUCGUAACUCAGGUGUUGGCGACGCAAUUGGCCCUAAUCAUAGUGUAGAACUAGAAGUAGCAUUAGAGAUAUUCCACAGCGCAGCUGCAGCGGUGAAGACAUUAGUUUCUUGAAUUGAUCUGGCACGAAACGUGUAACCAAGAACAAGCAUACCGUUAGCUAAUAAGAUCUGUAGUGAAGUACCGUAGAAAUAUAAGAACUAGACGCAAUACUCGAUGUACAACUAAGAGAUGAUCUGUUCGAGAUUGUUAGAUAGCAUAAAAAUCAAUUAGCCUCACCAAGACCUGAUCAUCAGCAGAUAGACGAAAUUUUUGCGAAUGCAGCAUUCGCAAAAAUUUCGUAACCCUUUGUAUGAUGUUGUGUUACCAAUUAUCGAAAUUAUGCCGACAAAAUGUAAAUUGUUUUUUUGGAGUGCAUACAAGCCAUCAAUAAACGCAGAUUACUACACAUCACAUCAUCUACAUUCUCUCGCAUACUACAAGCAAAUCGAUCAAAACUGCUUCGAUCUCCAAUACCCGCACAGUCGCAAUACACGGAGCCAGAUAAUAUUGAGCCGACUGGUGGACCUGAAACAAAAGCAUGCUCCAGAGUGCUCUGUAUAGUCGAUGCAAAUGGUUGCCUGCCUAGUGCGAGUUAAGUGCAUGUUAAAUCCAAAAGUGCAUCAAACAAAGCAUGUCCUUACUGAUGGUGCAAAUUAGGAUCACGAAUAACUGAAGGUGAAUGCACCAUGUGCUGACCACGUGCCAGUGGUCAAUGAUCAAUACCAUCUCGCACAAACAGGAACCACAUAGGCCAGAUUACGAGUUCUAGACAUCAUUCGGCCCAAACGAAACGGAACGCCGCACAAAAUAGUGUCUGCUGGCAAACCCCGUGAAGCUUGAACAAGCUGAGCCAUUUCCCAACAUAAGGGCGACAAGGCCUUCAACAGAAGGCCUUUUAUUUGCAGCCCACCAAUAUAUUGGCUCUACCACGGCAGCUACCAUCCAUUCCUUGCCGUCCAGGCCGGCCUCAUCACAGGAACGACCACCAACUGCAUAUCGUCGACCGCUGGAGCAGCGAACGACGAGUGCACGUGCACACAGCCCUUUCAAGAGCCGAGUACAGACUGUAGCGUUGCAUGGGAACCCGAAGGCUGAGAGUGGUGCAUUACGCUGGAAACUCUCUCACACGACACAGGACCAUGCGACACCGUUCGGUGUGACUCCAGGAGCCGUGCGACAUUUUAUGGCUUUGCGUGAGAGCGAGAGAGUGUUGCGGGUAGCAGUGUUGCGAGGCUAGUUGCAUAGCUGGUGCAGGGAGGGAUCAACGACCGCCACAACAUCGCCGAUGCAGCGAAUGCAGCAAGGGGCCCCCACCGGUUCGUGAUAGGCUUAAGACGAAUGCCAGAAAAGUACAUUUAAUAAGCAGCAUUGAAUGCAGAACAGCUGAUAAUUUUCAAUGGACAGGUGGUAAUCAAAAACUUUUCUACAAGAAACUGUACUAUGUUUCAAACUGUUGUUUGGAUUCACAUUUUAUUUUGCAAUUUAAAUAAUUACAAAUACACUGUCAAACAGUUUUCUUAUAACAGAUUUAAACCAUAUUUUCUUGAAGCCACUAGAGAUUCAUGUUUGUUUUCACUAUCACUUUAUUAGUCAUCCGAAAAUCAUCAUACAAGUUA
rnacentral:lncRNA from 1 species